rnacentral:rRNA from 1 species
GACGAACGCUGGCGGCGUGCUUAACACAUGCAAGUCGAGCGGAAAGGCCCUUCGGGUACGUCGAGCGGCGAACGGGUGAGUAACACGUGAGUAACCUGCCCUUGGCUCUGGGAUAGCUCCGGGAAACCGGAAUUAAUACCGGAUAUGACCUCGGCCGACAUCGGCUGUGGUGGAAAGAUUUAUCGGCCAGGGAUGGGCUCGCGGCCUAUCAGCUAGUUGGUGGGAACGGCCGUACCAAGGCGACGACGGGUAGCCGGCCUGAGAGGGCGACCGGCCACCACUGGGACUGAGACACGGCCCAGACUCCUACGGGAGGCAGCAGUGGGGAAUAUUGCGCAAUGGGCGAAAGCCUGACGCAGCGACGCCGCGU